rnacentral:rRNA from 1 species
GUUUGAUCCUGGCUCAGGAUGAACGCUAGCUACAGGCUUAACACAUGCAAGUCGAGGGGCAGCAUGGUGGUGGCUUGCCACCGCCGAUGGCGACCGGCGCACGGGUGAGUAACGCGUAUCCAACCUUCCUCUUACAGAGGGGAUAACCCGCCGAAAGGCGGCCUAAUACCUCAUGCAGCCAGACUGAGGCAUCUUAGUUUGGUUAAAGAUUUAUCGGUAAGAGAUGGGGAUGCGUCCGAUUAGCUUGUUGGCGGGUUAACAGCCCACCAAGGCGACGAUCGGUAGGGGUUCUGAGAGGAAGGCCCCCCACAUUGGAACUGAGACACGGUCCAAACUCCUACGGGAGGCAGCAGUGAGGAAUAUUGGUCAAUGGACGAAAGUCUGAACCAGCCAAGUAGCGUGCAGGAUGACGGCCCUAUGGGUUGUAAACUGCUUUUAUGUGAGGAUAAAGUUAGGGACGUGUCCCUAUUUGCAGGUAUCACAUGAAUAAGGACCGGCUAAUUCCGUGCC